rnacentral:rRNA from 1 species
CCCGCUGAGUUUAAGCAUAUCAAUAAGCGGAGAAGG